rnacentral:rRNA from 1 species
CUAGCGAGACUGCCGGUAAUAAACCGGAGGAAGGUGGGGGAUGACGUCAAAUCAUCAUGCCCCUUGUGACCUGGGCUACACACGUGCUACAAUGGUUGGUACAACGAGUUGCGAGUCGGUGACGGCGAGCUAAUCUCUUAAAGCCAAUCUCAGUUCGGAUUGUAGGCUGCAACUCGCCUACAUGAAGUCGGAAUCGCUAGUAAUCGCGGAUCAGCACGCCGCGGUGAAUACGUUCCCGGGCCUU